rnacentral:rRNA from 1 species
ACUUAAAUUGAAGAGUUUGAUCAUGGCUCAGAUUGAACGCUGGCGGCAGGCCUAACACAUGCAAGUCGAGCGGUAGCACAGAGAGCUUGCUCUCGGGUGACGAGCGGCGGACGGGUGAGUAAUGUCUGGGAAACUGCCUGAUGGAGGGGGAUAACUACUGGAAACGGUAGCUAAUACCGCAUAACGUCGCAAGACCAAAGUGGGGGACCUUCGGGCCUCAUGCCAUCAGAUGUGCCCAGAUGGGAUUAGCUAGUAGGUGGGGUAACGGCUCACCUAGGCGACGAUCCCUAGCUGGUCUGAGAGGAUGACCAGCCACACUGGAACUGAGACACGGUCCAGACUCCUACGGGAGGCAGCAGUGGGGAAUAUUGCACAAUGGGCGCAAGCCUGAUGCAGCCAUGCCGCGUGUGUGAAGAAGGCCUUCGGGUUGUAAAGCACUUUCAGCGGGGAGGAAGGCGUUAAGGUUAAUAACCUUGGCGAUUGACGUUACCCGCAGAAGAAGCACCGGCUAACUCCGUGCCAGCAGCCGCGGUAAUACGGAGGGUGCAAGCGUUAAUCGGAAUUACUGGGCGUAAAGCGCACGCAGGCGGUCUGUCAAGUCGGAUGUGAAAUCCCCGGGCUCAACCUGGGAACUGCAUUCGAAACUGGCAGGCUAGAGUCUUGUAGAGGGGGGUAGAAUUCCAGGUGUAGCGGUGAAAUGCGUAGAGAUCUGGAGGAAUACCGGUGGCGAAGGCGGCCCCCUGGACAAAGACUGACGCUCAGGUGCGAAAGCGUGGGGAGCAAACAGGAUUAGAUACCCUGGUAGUCCACGCCGUAAACGAUGUCGAUUUGGAGGUUGUGCCCUUGAGGCGUGGCUUCCGGAGCUAACGCGUUAAAUCGACCGCCUGGGGAGUACGGCCGCAAGGUUAAAACUCAAAUGAAUUGACGGGGGCCCGCACAAGCGGUGGAGCAUGUGGUUUAAUUCGAUGCAACGCGAAGAACCUUACCUGGUCUUGACAUCCACAGAACUUCCCAGAGAUGGUUUGGUGCCUUCGGGAACUGUGAGACAGGUGCUGCAUGGCUGUCGUCAGCUCGUGUUGUGAAAUGUUGGGUUAAGUCCCGCAACGAGCGCAACCCUUAUCCUUUGUUGCCAGCGGUCCGGCCGGGAACUCAAAGGAGACUGCCAGUGAUAAACUGGAGGAAGGUGGGGAUGACGUCAAGUCAUCAUGGCCCUUACGACCAGGGCUACACACGUGCUACAAUGGCAUAUACAAAGAGAAGCGACCUCGCGAGAGCAAGCGGACCUCAUAAAGUAUGUCGUAGUCCGGAUUGGAGUCUGCAACUCGACUCCAUGAAGUCGGAAUCGCUAGUAAUCGUAGAUCAGAAUGCUACGGUGAAUACGUUCCCGGGCCUUGUACACACCGCCCGUCACACCAUGGGAGUGGGUUGCAAAAGAAGUAGGUAGCUUAACCUUCGGGAGGGCGCUUACCACUUUGUGAUUCAUGACUGGGGUGAAGUCGUAACAAGGUAACCGUAGGGGAACCUGCGGUUGGAUCACCUCCUUACCUUAAAGAA